rnacentral:rRNA from 1 species
GGAGGAAAGAAACUAACUAGGAUUCCCUCAGUAGCUGCGAGCGAACAGGGAGGAGCCCAGCACCGAAUCCCGCGGCCGAGACCGGACGCAGGGAAAUGUGGUGUUAGGGAGAGGCAACAUGUCUCGCGAUCCGGCGGCGCGUCCAAGUCCUUCUUGAACGGGGCCACAGCCCAUAGAGGGUGCCAGGCCCGUAGUGACCGUUGCUGAUCGCGAGGUGACCUCUCCUAAGAGUCGGGUUGCUUGAGAGUGCAGCCCUAAGUGGGUGGUAAACUCCAUCUAAGGCUAAAUAUGACCACGAGACCGAUAGCGAACAAGUACCGUGAGGGAAAGUUGAAAAAGAACUUUGAAGAGAGAGUUCAAUAGUACGUGAAACCGUUCAGGGGUAAACCUGAGAAACCCGAAAGGUCGAAAGGGAAGAUUCAUUCGCGUUUCGUCGGCUAAGCCGGGCGCUUGCGUGACGAAUGGGCCACGUGUCGUUCGCACCUUGCGUUCGCGCUAGAUGUCGGCGAACGCGUGCACUUCUUCCCCGGUAGGACGUCGCGAUCCGUUGGGUGUCGGUCUAAGGCCCGUGGUGGAGCCCGUUCGACGGCUUGCCGUUUCGGAUGGACCCGCGGUGUCCCGGCCGGCCCGCUCGACGGUAUACAGAUGGCGCGGGGCCGCGAUUCAGUUCGCGUCCGGCCCGUAGCAAGCGCUCCGUGCGCGUCGGCGAUCGGACCUAGUGCCGGUUCCGGCCCACGAAGGCUGUUGGCUGCGGUGUUCUCGGACAGACCUCGUUUGAAACGCCGAUCUGCGACGCUAUAGCUUUGGGGUACUUUCAGGACCCGUCUUGAAACACGGACCAAGGAGUCUAGCAUGUGCGCGAGUCAUUGGGAAUCACUAAACCUAAAGGCGCAAUGAAAGUGAAGGCCCGCCUAGCGCGGGCCGAGGGAAGAUGGGCGGUUACGGUUUCCGUGCCGCUCCGCACUCCCGGGGCGUCUCAUUCUCAUUGCGAGAAGAGGCGCACCAAGAGCGUACACGCUGGGACCCGAAAGAUGGUGAACUAUGCCUGGUCAGGACGAAGUCAGGGGAAACCCUGAUGGAGGUCCGUAGCGAUUCUGACGUGCAAAUCGAUCGUCGGAACUGGGUAUAGGGGCGAAAGACUAAUCGAACCAUCUAGUAGC